UGGCCAAACAGUCUCCAAUCCAUGGAAGCCCAAGAAGCAAAGGAAAGGCCCUGGGCUUCCACAACAACCAAUCGCUUUCUGAACACAUUAUAUGACAUCCAUCCUCCUGUACACAUUACGUCUGACCGGCAUAUGAUCACAAAUCAAUGGAUGAGAACGUUUUACUUGACACUGGACACUUGGGGAUGAGGGCGCCAUAAUGGACCAGAGAACCUUUAGCUUCCCGUCACUGGUUAUCUCCACUCGCAGUGGGGCUCGGCAGGUACACGGAGGAACGCCGGACAGGAUCUGGACGGUGCUCACGCGGACCAGUAACAGCAGAAGUGAUUAUCUCAGGUGUAAGAACACACGUCCGCGGCACUCGUCUUGAAUCCAAACUUUAUUGACAGUUACGACAGACCACAGAUUUGACAAUAGUGCGCAGUGUGGAGCUCUCAGGGAGAGAUUUCCCUCUGCUGCCCAUAUGGAACAACAUUGUAUUUCUACUCCGGGGCGCUGGUUUUCUUGGAAAUAUUCAGGAAUCUUGGCGUGUUCAAUAUGAAUCGUUUGCAGGCGAGAACGUAAAAUGGACCGCGCUCUGUUCUGAAUCUUUCGUAAUCCCCUGCUAGGAGACACGCUGUUCCUUUUGGCUAACCUCUAAUGUUCUGUCUUCAUGUGGCCGACAGAUUGAAGCUAUUCUACUUGUGGCUCAAAUAUUGUGUACCCAUGCAAAAAAAAACAUUAAAAAGAAAUAGCAAAAUACAAAAAUAACAGAAAAAAGUAAGAAUUGCACCACCACAACACACUUUGUUGCUAUGUAACCUGUUAAUUUCUUGAUUUAUUUUCUGUAAAUAUUUCUCAGUUUUAUCCUUUCAUUAACGUUCCUGAUGCCCACGACAUUAUACAAGUAUUAAAAUAAAGUACCCCCCCCCCCCUUGUUUUUGAUUACAAUGGUAUCAUGGGAAAGUCCUUUAAUUGCGUGUUGGGCAUCAUAACAGAAGCCAAAACAUGCCUGUUCCUAAUAAAAAGUCCGGGCACCCCAAUGAAAUAGUGUGCCCUGGGCGACUGCCCAGUUUGCCGCCCCCUAAAACUAAAAUAUAUAAACUGUAAUAAG